UACAGAGGUCCCAAGCGUUGUUCGGAUUCACUGGGCGUAAAGGGUGCGUAGGUGGUGAGGUAAGUCGGAUGUGAAAGCUCGGAGCUCAACUCCGAAAUGGCAUUGGAAACUACCUUGCUCGAGGGUUGGAGGGGGGACUGGAAUACUUGGUGUAGCAGUGAAAUGCGUAGAUAUCAAGUAGAACACCAGUGGCGAAGGCGAGUCCCUGGACAACUCCUGACACUGAGGCACGAAAGCUAGGGGAGCAAACAGG
rnacentral:rRNA from 1 species